UUAUUUGCUUCUCGUACUAUCAGGGCAGUUGAUACCACAGCCCUCAAACAUGAGGGGCCAUCCUUUAGAAACCCUCUCUAGUUGUUUAGACACGUAGGCCACCGGCCACAGCCAGGGUCCCAGAGUUUCGGUUAAAAGUCCAGCUGCCAUCUUUUCUCUAUCUGACGCAUUCAAUGGAAAAGGCUUGGUCAGAUCGGGUAGCCCCAGGGCUGGGGCUGCCAGAAGUUUUUCCUUUAACUCAUGAAAGACUUGCUGUUGUUGGGAUCCCCAUUUCAAAGGUUCCCGGUCCCCGCCCCCUUUGUGACCUCAUACAAAGGCUUGGCUAAUACUGCAAAGUUUGGGAUGCACAGUCUACAAAACCCCACAGCCCCUAAGAAUUCCCUCACCUGCCCCCUUUGUGACCUCAUACAAAGGCUUGGCUAAUAAUGCAAAAUUUGGGAUGCAGAGUCUACAAAACCCCACAGCCCCUAAGAAUUCCCUCACCUGCCUUCUGCCCUUAGGCUCCGGUAGACUGCAAAUGACCUGCUUUCUUUCUGUUCCCGGGCUGCGUUUGGACCCCUGUCGGAUAGUAAAUCCCAAGCUCCGGUAGACUGCAAAUGACCUGCUUUCUUUCUGUUCCCGGGCUGCGUUUGGACCCCUGUCGGACAGUAAAUCCCAAGUAAGGAUAACUUCAGGAAGUGGGUAUUAAUUCUCACGGUAUAAGUGAAGACAUUAAGCACCAGAGUUUAAGUAGCUUGCUAGAUCCACUGAAAGAGAUUCAACUGUGUGGAACCUAUGCCGUGGAGAAUUGCUUUCUGCCAUUGUUAUCGUCCAGCAGUUGCCGAAUAGCUCUGACCUGAGCAAAGCAGUGAAACGCGGUGCUGUUGAGUGGGUUGCCACUGCACCUUUUUCAACUACUCUAGUCUUGUGGAGAAAAUACCCCUUCUAAAUUUUUUCUUCAUUGAAUACUCUCCCUCAGCUCCAGAGUACCAUAUAGAGUUUUCUUGUAUUUUAGAGUUACUGUUUUAUCAAAGUUUACCAGUCUUUUGUAUUACAUUUCUCCUGUCUAAAUCGACUGUGUGGUUUCUACUCAUUAUGGAUAUAGAUUGAUACAAACUCA
rnacentral:lncRNA from 1 species